UGAGGAAUAUUGGUCAAUGGACGCAAGUCCGAACCAGCCAAGUAGCGUGCAGGAUGACGGUCCUAUGGGUUGUAAACUGCUUUUAUAUGGGGAUAAAGUGGGGAACGCGUUCCCUUUUGCAGGUACCAUAUGAAUAAGGACCGGCUAAUUCCGUGCCAGCAGCCGCGGUAAUACGGAAGGUUCGGGCGUUAUCCGGAUUUAUUGGGUUUAAAGGGAGCGUAGGCCGUUUGGUAAGCGUGUUGUGAAAUGUAGGAGCUCAACUUCUAGAUUGCAGCGCGAACUGUCAGACUUGAGUGCGCACAACGUGGGCGGAAUUCAUGGUGUAGCGGUGGAAUGCUUAGAUAUCAUGAAGAACUCCGAUUGCGAAGGCAGCUUACGGGAGCGCAACUAACGCUGAAGCUCGAAGGUGCGGGUAUCGAACAGG
rnacentral:rRNA from 1 species